CCUACGGGAGGCAGCAGUGAGGAAUAUUGGUCAAUGGGCGAGAGCCUGAACCAGCCAAGUCGCGUGAGGGAAGACGGUCCUAUGGAUUGUAAACCUCUUUUGCCGGGGAGCAAAAAGCGGUACGUGUACCGCAUCGAGAGUACCCGGAGAAAAAGCAUCGGCUAACUCCGUGCCAGCAGCCGCGGUAAUACGGAGGAUGCGAGCGUUAUCCGGAUUUAUUGGGUUUAAAGGGUGCGCAGGCGGCGAGUUAAGUCAGCGGUAAAAUUUCGGGGCUCAACCCCGACAAGCCGUUGAAACUGGCGUGCUAGAGUGGGCGAGAAGUAUGCGGAAUGCGUGGUGUAGCGGUGAAAUGCAUAGAUAUCACGCAGAACUCCGAUUGCGAAGGCAGCAUACCGGAACCCAACUGACGCUCAGGCACGAAAGCGUGGGUAUCGAACAGGAUUAGAUACCCGGGUAGUC
rnacentral:rRNA from 1 species